ensembl:lncRNA novel transcript
GCUCAAGAAAAAUAUAGUGACAAGGUGUGUUAGACUGCCUCUCGUCCACAGGAGAAAAGACAGACCAACCUGGAUUUCCACUUUAUAUCUACCACUGAUGAGCUGUGUGACCUUGGGCAAGUGAACUAACCUCUCUGGUCCUGUUUUCUCAUCUGCAAAAAGCAAACAAGACUUGAGCUCCUCACCCUCACCACCUCACAAUCUAUGGAGAUGCCAGGCAGUGCACAAACCACUCAGCCAUAUGCAGCACUCUGCAGGCAUGAAGACUCAGAGGCAAAAAAACAAGAAGUGAAAAACUCCAUUUGGCUAGAGUGGAGGCUUUCUGAAGCAGAUAUAAAAGUCUAAGACUUGUGCUGUCCAAUAUAAUAGCCCCUUACCACACGUGGCUAUUUAAAUUUCAAUGAAUUAAAAUUCAAUACAAUUGAAAUA